GCCUGGGUGGCUCAGUCGGUUGAGCGUCUGACUUUGGCUCAGGUCAUGAUCUGACUCGUGGGUUUGAGCCCCACGUCAGGCU